rnacentral:rRNA from 1 species
AGGUAAGCUACUAAGAGCGAAUGGUGGAUGCCUUGACUGGUAAAGGCGAUGAAGGACGUACUAGACUGCGAUAAGCUACGGGGAGCUGUCAAGAAGCUUUGAUCCGUAGAUUUCCGAAUGGGGCAACCCAAUGUAUAGAGAUAUACAUUACCUAUAUAGGAGCGAACGAGGGGAAUUGAAACAUCUUAGUACCCUCAGGAAAAGAAAUCAAUAGAGAUUGCGUCAGUAGCGGCGAGCGAAAGCGCAAGAGGGCAAACCCAGUGCUUGCACUGGGGGUUGUAGGACUGCAAUGUGCAAGAGGUAAGUUUAGCAGAACAUUCUGGAAAGUAUAACCAUAGAGGGUGAUAGUCCCGUAUGCGAAAAACAAACCUUAGCUAGCAGUAUCCUGAGUAGGGCGGGACACGAGGAAUCCUGUCUGAAUCCGGGUCGACCACGAUCCAACCCUAAAUACUAAUACCAGAUCGAUAGUGCACAAGUACCGUGAGGGAAAGGUGAAAAGAACUGAGGUGAUCAGAGUGAAAUAGAACCUGAAACCAUUUGCUUACAAUCAUUCAGAGCCCUAUGUAGCAAUACAGGGUGAUGGACUGCCUUUUGCAUAAUGAGCCUGCGAGUUGUGGUGUCUGGCAAGGUUAAGCAAACGCGAAGCCGUAGCGAAAGCGAGUCUGAAUAGGGCGCUUAGUCAGAUGCUGCAGACCCGAAACGAAGUGAUCUAUCCAUGAGCAAGUUGAAGCUAGUGUAAGAACUAGUGGAGGACUGAACCCAUAGGCGUUGAAAAGCCCCGGGAUGACUUGUGGAUAGGGGUGAAAGGCCAAUCAAACUUCGUGAUAGCUGGUUCUCUCCGAAAUAUAUUUAGGUAUAGCGUUGUGUCGUAAUAUAAGGGGGUAGAGCACUGAAUGGGCUAGGGCAUACACCAAUGUACCAAACCCUAUCAAACUCCGAAUACCUUAUAUGUAAUCACAGCAGUCAGGCGGCGAGUGAUAAAAUCCGUCGUCAAGAGGGAAACAACCCAGACUACCAGCUAAGGUCCCUAAGUCUUACUUAAGUGGAAAACGAUGUGAAGUUACUUAAACAACCAGGAGGUUGGCUUAGAAGCAGCCAUCCUUUAAAGAAAGCGUAAUAGCUCACUGGUCUAGUGAUUUUGCGCGGAAAAUAUAACGGGGCUAAAGUAAGUACCGAAGCUGUAGACUUAGUUUACUAAGUGGUAGGAGAGCGUUCUAUUUGCGUCGAAGGUAUACCGGUAAGGAGUGCUGGAGCGAAUAGAAGUGAGCAUGCAGGCAUGAGUAGCGAUAAUUAAUGUGAGAAUCAUUAACGCCGUAAACCCAAGGUUUCCUACGCGAUGCUCGUCAUCGUAGGGUUAGUCGGGUCCUAAGUCGAGUCCGAAAGGGGUAGACGAUGGCAAAUUGGUUAAUAUUCCAAUACCAACAUUAGUGUGCGAUGGAAGGACGCUUAGGGCUAAGGGGGCUAGCGGAUGGAAGUGCUAGUCUAAGGUCGUAGGAGGUUAUAUAGGCAAAUCCGUAUAACAAUACUCCGAGAACUGAAAGGCUUUUUGAAGUCUUCGGAUGGAUAGAAGAACCCCUGAUGCCGUCGAGCCAAGAAAAGUUUCUAAGUUUAGCUAAUGUUGCCCGUACCGUAAACCGACACAGGUGGGUGGGAUGAGUAUUCUAAGGCGCGUGGAAGAACUCUCUUUAAGGAACUCUGCAAAAUAGCACCGUAUCUUCGGUAUAAGGUGUGGUUAGCUUUGUAUUAGGAUUUACUCCGAAAGCAAGGAAACUUACAACAAAGAGUCCCUCCCGACUGUUUACCAAAAACACAGCACUCUGCUAACUCGUAAGAGGAUGUAUAGGGUGUGACGCCUGCCCGGUGCUCGAAGGUUAAUUGAUGGGGUUAGCAUUAGCGAAGCUCUUGAUCGAAGCCCGAGUAAACGGCGGCCGUAACUAUAACGGUCCUAAGGUAGCGAAAUUCCUUGUCGGUUAAAUACCGACCUGCAUGAAUGGCGUAACGAGAUGGGAGCUGUCUCAAAGAGGGAUCCAGUGAAAUUGUAGUGGAGGUGAAAAUUCCUCCUACCCGCGGCAAGACGGAAAGACCCCGUGGACCUUUACUACAGCUUGACACUGCUACUUGGAUAAGAAUGUGCAGGAUAGGUGGGAGGCU